rnacentral:rRNA from 2 species
UUAAAUUGAAGAGUUUGAUCAUGGCUCAGAUUGAACGCUGGCGGCAGGCCUAACACAUGCAAGUCGAACGGUAACAGGAAGCAGCUUGCUGCUUUGCUGACGAGUGGCGGACGGGUGAGUAAUGUCUGGGAAACUGCCUGAUGGAGGGGGAUAACUACUGGAAACGGUGGCUAAUACCGCAUAACGUCGCAAGACCAAAGAGGGGGACCUUCGGGCCUCUUGCCAUCAGAUGUGCCCAGAUGGGAUUAGCUAGUUGGUGAGGUAACGGCUCACCAAGGCGACGAUCCCUAGCUGGUCUGAGAGGAUGACCAGCCACACUGGAACUGAGACACGGUCCAGACUCCUACGGGAGGCAGCAGUGGGGAAUAUUGCACAAUGGGCGCAAGCCUGAUGCAGCCAUGCCGCGUGUAUGAAGAAGGCCUUCGGGUUGUAAAGUACUUUCAGCGGGGAGGAAGGUGUUGUGGUUAAUAACCGCAGCAAUUGACGUUACCCGCAGAAGAAGCACCGGCUAACUCCGUGCCAGCAGCCGCGGUAAUACGGAGGGUGCAAGCGUUAAUCGGAAUUACUGGGCGUAAAGCGCACGCAGGCGGUCUGUCAAGUCGGAUGUGAAAUCCCCGGGCUCAACCUGGGAACUGCAUUCGAAACUGGCAGGCUUGAGUCUUGUAGAGGGGGGUAGAAUUCCAGGUGUAGCGGUGAAAUGCGUAGAGAUCUGGAGGAAUACCGGUGGCGAAGGCGGCCCCCUGGACAAAGACUGACGCUCAGGUGCGAAAGCGUGGGGAGCAAACAGGAUUAGAUACCCUGGUAGUCCACGCCGUAAACGAUGUCUACUUGGAGGUUGUGCCCUUGAGGCGUGGCUUCCGGAGCUAACGCGUUAAGUAGACCGCCUGGGGAGUACGGCCGCAAGGUUAAAACUCAAAUGAAUUGACGGGGGCCCGCACAAGCGGUGGAGCAUGUGGUUUAAUUCGAUGCAACGCGAAGAACCUUACCUGGUCUUGACAUCCACAGAACUUUCCAGAGAUGGACUGGUGCCUUCGGGAACUGUGAGACAGGUGCUGCAUGGCUGUCGUCAGCUCGUGUUGUGAAAUGUUGGGUUAAGUCCCGCAACGAGCGCAACCCUUAUCCUUUGUUGCCAGCGGUUAGGCCGGGAACUCAAAGGAGACUGCCAGUGAUAAACUGGAGGAAGGUGGGGAUGACGUCAAGUCAUCAUGGCCCUUACGACCAGGGCUACACACGUGCUACAAUGGCGCAUACAAAGAGAAGCGACCUCGCGAGAGCAAGCGGACCUCAUAAAGUGCGUCGUAGUCCGGAUUGGAGUCUGCAACUCGACUCCAUGAAGUCGGAAUCGCUAGUAAUCGUGGAUCAGAAUGCCACGGUGAAUACGUUCCCGGGCCUUGUACACACCGCCCGUCACACCAUGGGAGUGGGUUGCAAAAGAAGUAGGUAGCUUAACCUUCGGGAGGGCGCUUACCACUUUGUGAUUCAUGACUGGGGUGAAGUCGUAACAAGGUAACCGUAGGGGAACCUGCGGUUGGAUCACCUCCUUACCUUAAAGAA